GAUGAAGAACGUAGCGAAAUGCGAUAAGUAAUGUGAAUUGCAGAAUUCAGUGAAUCAUCGAAUCUUUGAACGCACAUUGCGCCCAUUAGUAUUCUAGUGGGCAUGCCUGUUCGAGCGUCAUUAAGUCCACUUAAGCCCUGCUAGUGUUGGGAGACUGCUCCAGCGGUGCUACCCUGUAGCUACCCUGCAGCUCCUCAAAGACAGCGGCGGAGUUGUGGUAUCCUCUGAGCUUAGUAACUUGUUCUAGCUUUCGAGUACACCACUUCCCCUGCCGUAAAACCCUUAAUUUUUAAUGGUUGACCUCGGAUCAGGUAGGAAUACCCGCUGAACUUAAGCAUAUCAAUAAGCGGAGGA
rnacentral:misc_RNA from 1 species